rnacentral:misc_RNA from 1 species
UUAACUAUUAUAUAGUACUCAGACGACACUAAUAAACAGGGUUUUGGGUCCUCUGACGGGCGCUUAUCAGCCUAAGCCGAUAGCCAGGCACAAGCCCGGCGGCCCGCCAAAGCAACAAAGUAAUAAUAACAUAGGGUGGGAGAUCUACCCGUUAGGGCAUGAACUCUGUAAUGAUCCCUCCGCAGGUUCACCUACGGAGA